UACGUAGGGUGCGAGCGUUAAUCGGAAUUACUGGGCGUAAAGCGUGCGCAGGCGGUUUUGUAAGCCAGAUGUGAAAUCCCCGGGCUCAACCUGGGAAUGGCAUUUGGGACUGCAAGGCUGGAGUACGGCAGAGGAGACUGGAAUUCCUGGUGUAGCAGUGAAAUGCGUAGAGAUCCGGAAGAACACCGGUGGCGAAGGCGGCCUGCUGGGCCGGAGCCGAAAGGCAUUAGCUGACGCUGAGGCGCGACAGCGUGGGGAGCAAACAGG
rnacentral:rRNA from 1 species